rnacentral:rRNA from 1 species
GAUGAACGCUGGCGGCGUGCCUAAUACAUGCAAGUCGAGCGAACAGACGAGGAGCUUGCUCCUCUGACGUUAGCGGCGGACGGGUGAGUAACACGUGGAUAACCUACCUAUAAGACUGGGAUAACUUCGGGAAACCGGAGCUAAUCCCGGAUAAUCUAUUGAACCGUAUGGUUCAAUAGUGAAAGACGGCUUUGCUGUCACUUAUAGAUGGAUCCGCGCCGCGUUAUUGGGUUGGUAAGUUAACGGCUUACCACGGCAACGAUGCGUAGCCGACCUGUGAGGGGGUACGGCCACACUGGAGCUGAGCCGCGGUCCAGACUCCUACGGACGGCAGCGGUAGGGAAUCUUCCGCAAUGGGCGAAAGCCUGACGGAGCAACGCCGCGUGAGUGAUGAAGGUCUGCGGAUCGUAAAACUCUGUUAUGAGGGAAGAACAAAUGUGUAAGUAACUAUGCGCGUCUUGACGGUACCUAAUCAGAAAGCCACGGCUACCUACGU